AUGAACGCUGGCGGCGUGCUUAACACAUGCAAGUCGAACGAAGCAUCUUUACACGAUCCCUUCGGGGUGACGAAUUGGUGACUGAGUGGCGGACGGGUGAGUAACGCGUGGGAAACCUGCCCUGUACCGGGGAUAGCAGUUGGAAACGGCUGAUAAUACCGCAUAAGCGCACAGUAAGACAUCUUACGGUGUGAAAAACUCCGGUGGUACAGGAUGGUCCCGCGUCUGAUUAGCUAGUUGGUGAGGUAAUAGCUCACCAAGGCGACGAUCAGUAGCCGGUCUGAGAGGAUGGACGGCCACAUUGGGACUGAGACACGGCCCAGACUCCUACGGGAGGCAGCAGUGGGGAAUCUUCCGCAAUGGGCGAAAGCCUGACGGAGCAACGCCGCGUGAGUGAAGAAGGUCUUCGGAUCGUAAGGCUCUGUUGUCGGGGACGAAUGUUGAGGCCUAGAACAUAGGUUUCAAAUGACGGUACCUGACGAGGAAGCCACGGCUAACUACGUG
rnacentral:rRNA from 1 species